UCAAAAUUUGAAAAUCCAACACUACCCCAAUUAUUUAAGGCCUUCUCCUUCGUUCUUUCUCUGCAAACUCACCCUACUCAAAUCGUGACCUCAUUGUCGCCACCAGGAUCAGCCUGUCUUCGUCGUCAGUGGCUUCCUUUUUCCUCUCUUCUCCCUAAUUCCCAUGCUGCCAGUGUUUGCUCGCCUCUUGAAUACUUCUUCGUCCUCUUCUUUCUGCAUCUCGUGUCGACCGCCUUGACUUCGUCGUGCCUGUCGCUGUCGGCACCCCCCUUGCCAUUUUGAAAGGGAAAAUCAUUACCUUUUAUUACCACCGAAAAAAAGAUAUGUCUUUAUUGUGAAUUAUGAGUAUCUUGUACAAAUUGUGGGUACAGUUUGACACAGGCGAUCAAAAAUUUGUUGCCCAAAAAAUUUAAUCCGUCAUAAACCUUCAACGAUAUAGCUUCAGUGCACUAGCAUUAACUAGGUUUCAUCACGUUUCGUGAGUAGGCGAAAUAAGAGGUCAUUCUGCACUUCUGAGUGCUUUGAUGGAAUGAUGGAGAUCGAAAACUCACAUGUUUCACCUUCCAGUCGGUGAAGUGACUGUAAUGCUAGAAGACGACAGGGAGCCCUUCAUGGGAAGAACAAACAGCAGUCACCACUUUUUGGUGGAGAACUGCUUCGCUUGUUUUGGUCGGUUGCCCGGUCCGGACGAUUACGUAUUGGGUAAGGUAAAUCUUGCAUGAGUUCAGCGGUACAGAAACACCAAAUCGUGUGACGCACAGGAGUCUAUUGAGCAGUAGGUCUGGCCUCACAUUUUCUGUGUGCUCAGAACGGUCGUAUUUCCGAAUAAGUCUACCAAUUCUUCGAACUCGAAGUUUUUGCCUCUACUUCGAGAUUUUCACCGGAUUCCACUAUACAGUUGGGGGCAGCCAGUCUGGCACAUCUGUACAGGUCAUUGUGUCGUGCAUCACAAUCCAACUGUAAAGAGAUUGAUGGACCACUCAUUCUACUUUUUGUUUGGGCGUGGGAGCGUAUGCCGUUCCUGGCACCUAUUCCUCGCAAUGAGCUCGCCAAUGUUGGUGUUCCACUUGCGCACCGGUAUUUUUAUUAUUAUUGUUGUUGUUGUUGUUGUUCCGAUUACAAUCAUUCUAAUCUUGUUUAGGUAGAGUCAUUGGCGCCGGCUAACAAGAUAUACGCGAAAGUUUACAACGCAUUUUAGGCGGCAACUCGAUAACAUGGGAGUCAACGAGUUUAUAUGGCGGCCAUAUAAGGUAGUCAUGGUUCCUGAAGACCUAACCGUAAAUUUGUUUAUGUGUUCCACAAAGUUGCCGUUAGUGUCAUUCGAGUGUAUAGAGUGGCACUCAACAUACCGAAUUUGGGGCUGCAACAGCUUUGACCAGACACGGCAUUCCAGAUUGGUGAUGCUCAUUGCAGGCAGUUGACUGGCCCACAGAACCAUGACUGGAGCGACAGAAACAGUGAAUGGGUUAACAUGUGAAAUUUUGGCCACUAUAAUAUACUGCAGUUAGGGACGAGAUUGUCGACUUUCAUCCUCUCCCGGUGUACUACGAGUGGUACACACAGCAGUACGGGCAUCACCUACGAAUGUCAGAUAGAGUUGCAGCUGAAGAGGUCGAUGUGAAUGAACCAUAAGAACAACCACCGUCACCAGCUGGACCUCAGCAGUAAAAUCCCUUCAUGAGCAACAGUUUCAGGUGUCGGGGUAUAAGCACCAGUAUCAGGCACCAGGCUAUGACCAAGGAUUUCAUGUAUCAUUAAGAUUUAUUAUUAUUAUUAUUAUUAUUACUACUACUACUACUACUACUACUACUACUACUACUACUACUACUACUACUACUGUGAAUGUUAGUUUAACGGUGCUAAUAUUAUUUAGGUUCUGGCAUAUGAGCACUAGUUUCAGGUGCCGGCAUAUGACCACCAGUUCCAGAUGCCGGGAUAUGAGUACCAGUAUCAGGUGCCGGCUUAUGGCCAACAUCAAUAGUUUCUGGUAUAUGAGCAACAACAGCAGUGGCCAGUUGAUCAACAACAACCGUACAUACCAGAACUACAACCACAGUAGACAGCAGAAGCCUACAUAUCACAGAUGGUAAUUCCAGUCGACGGUCACUUCACUCCAUUGGUUGGAAUUGAUGACAUCAGCUUGUCUCAGGUCCUAAGAGACACAGAUUAUCUAUUUGAGCCAGAGCAACAAGGGCCUGCUGCUUCUGAGCCGUCUGUUUGUCAUCACACCACAUAAGGUCAUGCCAGUGACUUGUUGAUGGAUUGAUCUUCGGGUCAUGUAGAUCCUCCUUGUCCUUCCGUACCACCUUGUACCGAGUUGUUAUAUUUGAAUGAAUACUUGCAGCAGGAAGCGGGAUUUGGAGGAGAUGACCUGUAGCACAAGUAUGAUUAUGGUUGAGCGAGUGCUCCGGGCAUAAGUGGUUCCAGUUUGUACGACACUGGCGAUGCCAACAUGUCCGAUGUCGGUGCUUUUGACGGUUGCAGUGGUCUAGAUGCUGGUAUGUCUCAGGGUUAUCCAUAUAAUUUAUGGAUACAGACUACGCCCCCGAAUAAAUACACCCCAUCUUAGUAUUCGAAGAAAGCACCAAAAAAGUAGCUUGUAGCAGUUUAUCUUUGUCUGUUUGAGUUUAGCUUUGUAUUCAGUGUUGUAUCUCGUAUUGUUAAUUCUCAUAUUCAGUGUUGCAUGUUGAAUAGGUCUCUAUAUGGUCUUAAACAAGCGCCAAGGGAGUAGUUUCUUAAGUUAAACAAUACCUUGUCUCAUUUUGGUUUAA